rnacentral:rRNA from 1 species
GAUGAACGCUGGCGGCGUGCCUAAUACAUGCAAGUCGAGCGAAUGGAUUGAGAGCUUGCUCUUAUGAAGUUAGCGGCGGACGGGUGAGUAACACGUGGGUAACCUGCCCAUAAGACUGGGAUAACUCCGGGAAACCGGGGCUAAUACCGGAUAACAUUUUGAAACGCAUGGUUCGAAAUUGAAAGGCGGCUUCGGCUGUCACUUAUGGAUGGACACGCGUCGCAUUAGCUAGUUGGUGAGGUAACGGCUCACCAAGGCAACGAUGCGUAGCCGACCUGAGAGGGUGAUCGGCCACACUGGGACUGAGACACGGCCCAGACUCCUACGGGAGGCAGCAGUAGGGAAUCUUCCGCAAUGGACGAAAGUCUGACGGAGCAACGCCGCGUGAGUGAUGAAGGCUUUCGGGUCGUAAAACUCUGUUGUUAGGGAAGAACAAGUGCUAGUUGAAUAAGCUAGCACCUUGACGGUACCUAACCAGAAAGCCACGGCUAACUACGUGCCAGCCGCCGCGGUAA